rnacentral:rRNA from 1 species
CGCGAAUGGCUCAUUAAAUCAGUUAUGGUUCCUUGGAUCGUACCUUACUACUUGGAUAACUGUGGUAAUUCUAGAGCUAAUACAUGCAGCAGAGCUCCGACCUUCGGGGACGAGCGCUUUUAUUAGACCAAAACCAAUCGGACUUUGUCCGUCUCUUGUGGUGACUCUGAAUAACUUUGGGCUGAUCGCACAGGCCCGUCCCGGCGACGUAUCUUUCAAGUGUCUGCCUUAUCAACUUUCGAUGGUAGGUUACGCGCCUACCAUGGUCGUAACGGGUAACGGGGAAUCAGGGUUCGAUUCCGGAGAGGGAGCCUGAGAAACGGCUACCACAUCCAAGGAAGGCAGCAGGCGCGCAAAUUACCCACUCCCAGAACGGGGAGGUAGUGACGAAAAAUAACAAUACGGGACUCUUUUGAGACCCCGUAAUUGGAAUGAGUACACUCUAAAUCCUUUAACGAGGAUCCAUUGGAGGGCAAGUCUGGUGCCAGCCGCCGCGGUAACUCCAGCUCCAAUAGCGUAUAUUAAAGUUGUUGCGGUUAAAAAGCUCGUAGUUGGAUCUCAGUUCCAGACGGGUGGUCCGCCUACCGGUGGUUACUGCCUGUUCUGAACAGCCAGCCGGUUUCUCUUGAUGAUCUUCACCGGUUGUCUUGGGUGACCGGCAAGUUUACUUUGAAAAAAUUAGAGUGCUCAAAGCAGGCGCGACGCCUGAAUAAUGGUGCAUGGAAUAAUGGAAUAGGACCUCGGUUCUAUUUUGUUGGUUUUCGGAACACGAGGUAAUGAUUAAGAGGGACAGACGGGGGCAUUCGUA